AUUGAACGCUGGCGGCAGGCCUAACACAUGCAAGUCGAAUGGUAACAGGAAACCGCUUGCUGUUUCGCUGACGAGUGGCGGACGGGUGAGUAAUGUCUGGGAAACUGCCUGAUGGAGGGGGAUAACUACUGGAACCGUAGCUAAUACCGGAUAAACUUCCCAAACCCAAGGAGGGGACCUUUGGGCCUCUUUCCCUCCAACUUGCCCAGAUUGGAUUAGCUAGUAGGUGGGGUAACGGCCCACCUAGGCGACGAUCCCUAGCUGGUCUGAGAGGAUGACCAGCCACACUGGAACUGAGACACGGUCCAGACUCCUACGGGAGGCAGCAGUGGGGAAUAUUGCACAAUGGGCGCAAGCCUGAUGCAGCCAUGCCGCGUGUAUGAAGAAGGCCUUCGGGUUGUAAAGUACUUUCAGCGGGGAGGAAGGGAGUAAAGUUAAUACCUUUGCUCAUUGACGUUACCCGCAGAAGAAGCACCGGCUAACUCCGUG
rnacentral:rRNA from 1 species